GGACUUUCUGGUUUCUUCCGCCGGCCACGCCUGCAGAAGCCUUUGCAGCUGCGCAAGCAGCAGGCCCCGCGCGACUCCUAAAUAAGCCGGGGCCGCCAUGCAAGUCGGGGGACCCGCCCCCCGGCAACACUUUCGAACUGGCGGGGACACCCUAAAGCCUGUCGCACCAAGCCGGCGCGAGAAAUCGCCUGGCGGCCCGUGUUAAUCGCACGGGGUACGGUAACAGACGACACGGAUGCCGCCGGGGGCUUGACGCUCCCGCGCAGUGGGUAAUCCGCAGCGAAGCCCCUAAGUCCCGAGGAUACGGGGAACGUCCACAGACUAAGUGGAAGUGGGUGGGGCGCUCCGCCCCGCUUAAGAUAUAGUCGGGCCCCCGGAGAGACCCGGGGGUUUGCAGAAACCGUUCCGUAGGUGAACCUGCGGAAGGAUCAUUACCAGAUUGGACUGCGGGGUGAUGCCCAGGUCCAAGAACCCCCCAACCCCUGAUAAAAGCAACCCGAAGCUGUCUCGGCGGGCGUGCCCGCCGGAGCGCAACAGGAAAACCACUGCAGUUUAACAUGGUAGUCUGAGCGAGCAGCGAAUAAGUCAAAACUUUCAACAACGGAUCUCUUGGUUCUGGCAUCGAUGAAGAACGCAGCGAAAUGCGAUAAGUAGUGUGAAUUGCAGAAUUCAGUGAAUCAUCGAAUCUUUGAACGCACAUUGCGCCCUUUGGCAUCCCGAAGGGCAUGCCUGUUCGAGCGUCAUUUUUAAACCUCAAGCUCUGCUUGGUAUUGGGGUGCCCGUCCCCGCCCCCCGCGGUGCGCUCCCUAAAACCAUCGGCGGCGCGGCACCGGGUUCCGAGCGUAUUAGACCUCGCGAAGGGGACCGGGCGCUGCGGCGGGCCGCUUAAGAAACCCCCAGAAGUUUGACCUCGGAUCAGGUAGGGGAUACCCCGCUGAACUUAAGCAUAUCAAAUAGAAGGAAGGAAAAU
rnacentral:rRNA from 1 species